rfam:Corynebacterium sp. ATCC 6931, complete genome.
ACUCAGGCACGAUUCUCCCGCUGUUAGCUGGGUGAAAGCGACCUGAAGUUCAAUCCUGAGGGA